ACCAAGAAUUUGUGGAAAUUGAGGAAAAUGCAUCGUAUGUAGCACUAAAUAUAAGCAAAGUGACUUCAUGGGCAGAUGGGAUUAUCUUGGCUGGGGAGUAGGUAUGCAUGCACUGAGCUAACAUACAUCAUUUCGAGAUCAUGAUAAGAAGUUUCCUUCCUUGUGAGGAAAAAGAGGAACAUGAGCUUUGAAGUUCGAGGAGGACUCGAAGGGGACCGUGUGAACGGUGUGAUUAGCGAUUAGUAUCGAGAGAAAUCGUCGGGACUCACGUGAGCUUCAUUUGGUCGACAUGGGAGUCGCGAUCGCAUUAUGUCAGAGGUGCAUGACAUUGUAACCCGUUGCUAAAAGAAAUCGAUGUUCAUUGGGUCCUUGACUUUUUGUGCCAA